UCCGUAGGAUGCAAGCGAUGUCCGGAUUUAUUGGGUUUAAAGGGUGCGUAGGCGGCCUAUUAAGUUAGUGGUGAAAACGUUCGGCUUAACCGGAUACCCGCCAUUGAUACUGAUAGACUUGAGUGCGACAGAGGGUGUUGGAAUGUGUGGUGUAGCGGUGAAAUGCUUAGAUAUCACGCAGAACACCAAUUGCGAAGGCAGAUGCCUAUGUCGUAACUGACGAUGAGGCACGAAAGCGUGGGGAGCAAACAGG
rnacentral:rRNA from 1 species